rnacentral:rRNA from 1 species
CGUAGGGUGCGAGCGUUAAUCGGAAUUACUGGGCGUAAAGUGUGCACAGGCGGCUCCGCAAGUCGAGUGUGAAAUCCCCGAGCUUAACUUGGGAAUUGCGCUCGAAACUACGGAACUGGAGUGUGGCAGAGGAAGGUGGAAUUCCACGUGUAGCGGUGAAAUGCGUAGAGAUGUGGAGGAACACCGAUGGCGAAGGCAGCCUUCUGGGCCAACACUGACGCUCAUGCACGAAAGCGUGGGGAGCAAACAGGAUUAGAUACCCUGGUAGUCCACGCCCUAAACGAUGAUGACUAGUUGUUGGAGGAGUUAAAUCCUUUAGUAACGCAGCUAACGCGUGAAGUCAUCCGCCUGGGGAGUACGGUCGCAAGAUUA